UGGGAGAAGCCUUGAGUAGUUUAGUUGGUGGUGUUGCUGAGGCAACAGAUUGAUCUGGACUUUGAGUAGGGAAAGAACUGUUCUGUGUGCUUUCGGAAUGGAUUCGCUUGUUGUUGAUGUUGGUAUGAGAGGAAUAAGUACUCUCUUGUGGGGAUUCUGAGAAAGACUUGAAGUAUGCCAUAUCAUCAAACUGGAAUGCAUAUGAAUCCAUUUGGUAUUCAUGAUCACUAAACAAAGUAGUGUCCUCCAUUAAUCCCUGUUAAUUCAAAGAAAAAGAGUAAGGUAAAAGAAUUUAGAAUUUUUCUAUGGAUAUUUUUGUAGUUAGUUUUAACUUGUUUUAAGUUGUGUUUGUAUGAUAUUUUCGUAGUGAUUCUGUUUAUCUCGCUGCCAAUCCAAACAUACACUAUGUUGUGUACUUACAAAUUCAGGCAUGUAGUUGGUGGAUGAAAUUUGAAUCAUCUUUCCGAUUGAAUUCUUUGUAUGCACAAACUGAAAAUUAAGAAGUACAAACAAUUAGGCCAAUUAAUCAAAACUCUUUUGAUUUCCAAAAAUUGGGAAAAAAGAUUAAGCCUAUAACUUAUGAAAUGUAUAGUCUAAAGUCUAAACUAUAAGAUGUAUGAGAAGGGUUACCUUGGUUGAAGAUAGAUGAAGAAAGAGAAGAGAUGAAGUGUUGAUGUUUGUUUGUGAAGAAAAUAUUUGCAACCUGUUUUUAUAGAGAGAGGGCAAGUAGAAUAACACGUUUAAUACCCGGUUGUGUAUAUUAAGCACGUGUGAAUAUGAUUUCCCAUUUUCUAGGGUAUGUUUUGAAUGUGACGGCUUCCGUCUUCAUUAACACCGUUUGGUCAAAUUGUGACUACAUUCUCUCAACUACUUACUACUCGUUUCACUUAUUAUUACACCGUUUUGAAAUGUGUACACUUCUUAAUAAAUAAUUUUUUUGUUUGAGAAAUGACAUUUAAAUAUUUAUUUUAUAACAACUUUUGUGACAAUUUUCUAUUUUAUAUUCACAUUAUUUUUUACUUUAUCUCUCUAUUUCUUUUGUUUUGGUACAAAUGCCUUAGUUUUUUUUUUGUAAAUUAUAGUUGUCACAUAAGUUGUCAACUAAGACCCUGUUUGGAUAAACAGCUUAUAUAGAUGCUUAUAGCAUUAGAGCUUAUAACAGUAGAGCUUACAUCAUAAGCUCUUAUACUUGAUAAUUUAUUUAUGUUUGGAUAUGUACACUAAAAAGUACUUACAUAAAUUGAAGUGUUUGGAUGUGACAUUACAUAAGCAAUUAUCAAAAUUUUAAAUAUUUUUAAUUUAAUAAAAAAAUCAAAGAAUCGAACCACAAUUAUCAAGAUUUUUUUGAUAAAAUUAUUCAAGAUGUAAAAACAAUAUUAUAUUAUAUUAAUUAUAAUUAUAUAUAUAGUAUAAUCAAUAUUCGUCCUUAAAAAAAAUAUCAAUAUUCAUACAAGACAAAAUUAACAUUAAAUAAGUAUAUAGUUACGUAACAAAAAAAAUAUUCAUAUAAGAAAAAAAUAAUUAUAUUCAGUUUCAUUUUGUUACAUAACAAAAAAAUAAUAAAAAUCUUCCUUAAAAAAAACAUAUAUCUUAGUUACGCGUUUUAAAUUAGUAAGAUAAGUAUAUAGCAAUUUUGUUACUUAUGCACCGCCAAAGAUAACUAACAUUAUAAUUAAAAUAUAUGUUUUGAAAAAGUGGAUCCAGAGAGAAUCGAAGGAGGUUACAUAAAUUCAUAAGCUCCUUGUUAAGCUGGAGGGUAAGCUGAAAAUUUAGGCUUAUCAAAAUAUGGUAUAAGCAGCUUAUGAAACUAUGAUAAGCUAUUUUUAUUUAUUUACCCAAACACUUUUAAAAAGGCUUAUGGGAGUAGAUAAACCCACAUAAGCUCAAAAUAAGCCAAUUCAAACGGGGCUAAAUAGUUAUUCAAAUAACACUUCUUUUUUGUUUUGCCAAAUAAUAAUAAUAAAUUUAUUAGAUGGCAUAAGACAUGCCAGAAACAUAAUUACACGGUAACAAGAAUGUUUAGCAAAAUUAAACCACCUCCUCCUACGUCUCUUAUAAUUGAGACUCAUAAAUUUUUUUAGAAGCUAAAUUAGGCAAUUCAAAUUAGCAUCAAAAGAAUUGAAUAUGAUCGACUUUAAGAAAGAACACUUAUCAGAUCCUAAGCCAAUAUCACCAAACUAACACAAGUAAGUUGUUGAGACUAAUACCUUGAUUCACCAUGUUUGUAGAAGACUAAAUCAUUCUCCUUGACCCAACUUCCAUUGAUAGUACAUGAUAAUAUUUGGUAUUUUGGUAUUCCUUAUUGUUAGAUUUUUUAUUUAUGUCUAUUGUUAACGUUUUGUUUUUUUAAUAUUUUUUUUUUAUAUAAAAUUGUUUUGGGGUUUGUCCAAAAUUGUCUAGUUCACUUGCCCUUGCAUGGACCCGAAACAAGGCACGCCAAUUCCCCAUCCCAUAAACGACAAUCCAGUACUGUAACACCAUUGUCACGUCCUUCGUGUCACUAUGUUAGAACUUAGAAGUCUGGCUGGAUUCACCUUGAUCACGAUAGAGUCAUAAACUAUUGGAAUAUGCAUAUAUCAUCUUUUGGAGAUUUUGACGUAACACAAUUCAAAUACACACUUCAUAUGUUUUUUUAAUUUUAUUAUUUAUAGUUUAUUAAAAAAAGGUGUUUUUUUUAUAUUGUCAAAAGAAUUUUAUUUAAGGGAGUGCAAGGGAUAUUCCAAAACCAUUUCAAUAACGCUACCGUUACAAUAACACAUUUCAUGAGCAAUUCUUGUGCAACCACAAAUAUAUUUGAUUUAAACACACAUAUAAUAAAUAAGUAAAAUGGAAAAAAAAUAAUAAUUUAAUAUUAUUAUUAAAAAUAUUGGUUAACGUGUAUUAUUGUUGUGUGUACGCUUAAAUGAUUUUGAUUUAUGUUUGUAACUAUCUAAGAAUAUCCCCACAUUACAGGUGUGAUUGUCUAUCAAGACCGAAUAUAAAUCAAUUCUACUUUUUAUUUUAUUUUUAAUUAUUUUAAACAAAAUCAAAAAGUUAAUUCUACAAUUUACUUUUUGUGAGUAUGUCCAAUAUUCCUUGUGACAAAGGAAGCCUUGUUUCUCUAUCAUUAAACAUAGAGUUUUUCUAAUUACAUCAUGUUUAAUCCUGGUUGCACCCUAAAAUGACAAAAUUACCCUUCCAUAAAAUUUAAUUUUCAAAAAGCAUCUUCUUUUUUUCUUGGUUACACCCUAAAAUCCCUCUUCAGUUUAAGUAGGUCAUAUAAAUUUAGUUUCAGUAGGUCAUGUAAACUGAGUUUAAGUGUACAUACUUAAACUCAGUUUAAGUAGAUCAUGUAAACCGAGUUUAAGUGUACAUCUAAAAGUUCAACCUUGUUCAAUGAUUAUACGUAAUAUCAGUUUAAGUAUGUACAUGUAAACUUAGUUUAAGUAGGUCAUGUAAACCGAGUUUAAGUGUACAUUUAAAAGUUCAACCUUGUUCAAUGAUUCUACGUAAUAUCAGUUUUAGUAGGUCAUGUAAACCAAGUUUAAGUGUAUAUACUUAAACUCAGUUUUAAGUAGAGCAUGUAAACUUAGUUUAAGUACCUCAUGUAAACUGAAUUUAAGUAUACAUACUUAAACUCAGUUUAAGUAGGUCAUGUAACUCAGUUUAAGUAGGUCAUGUAAACUGAGUUUAAGUGUACAUCUAAAAGUUCAACCUUGUUCAAUGAUUAUACAUAAUAUUAGUUUAAGUAUGUACAUGUAAACUUAGUUUAAGUAGGUCAUGUAAACUGAUCAGUUUAAGUGUACAUACUUAAACUCAUUUUAAGUAGGUUAUGUAAACUAAGUUUAAAUAGAUUAUGUAAACUAAGUUUACAUGAACCUACUUAAACUGAAUUUAAUUUAACCUCAACAAUGUAAAACUGAAACUGUCGUACAGUGCAGCUGAACAAGAAGAAGAAAAUUGAAACCAGCGUUAUUGAAAAAGAAGAAAAAAUUCACUUAUUUAUAUGCAAUCGAGUAUGAAUGAAAGAUGUUUUGAUUCACUCUUUAAUCUUCUAUAGAGAUUAAUUGCAACAUCAGGAUUGUUUGAUCGUUGAUGGGGGAAAGAGAGUGGAAUUUUAGAGUGAAAAUGAAUGAAAUCAAGAUUUUAAAAAUUUUUAUAUAAAAGGACAAUUUUGGUAUUAUCAAAAGCAUUUUAAAAAAAUUGGAUGUAACCAGAAAUAUAUAGGGUGUGAAUAGAAAAACUCUUAAACAUACUUUACUGGUGGUGUUAGAAUGAGCGACUUUCUUUGAACAUUUUAAUUUAUAAAAUAAAUAAAAAAUCAUGUAAAAUUUAUUAAAUAGAUGAUUAAUGUAAAAUUUUGCAUAUGUUUUUUAGAUUUUUUUGUUGUUGCUAUUAACCUAGUGGUCAACACUAGGUUAAUAAAGUUCUAUAUCAAAUGACCUCACAGUCAAACCAUUAGACUGUAACAAUUGACCUAAUUCUGAUAACAUAUCAAAUUAAUUUAAAUUUUAGUAAAACUUUACAUUAAUGAUCUAUAUGAUAUAAACUUUUAAUCAAAGGGUGGAAUAUAUAUAUUAGGAAGGAUAAAAUUACAAUUGUUACAUCACUCAAUAUCAUUUUAUUCGGUUUGAUACAUAUUUUCCAAAUUUGAUAGUUAGAUUGUAAGUUUAUAUUACAUAUAUAAUCUACAAGGAGACCAUUAGCUCUUCUUAAUUGUGCAGUGGAAGGCUUAGCGCGUUUAACAAGGAAUUUGGCAAAUUUGGGGUUGUUUUCUAGUUUCUAAGUGCAUGAUCUUUUGAGUUACCUUAUGCUUCAAUUCGCGGAUGAUAUAAUUUUAUCAUGUAACGUUACUUGGGAUAAUUUAUGGGUUAUUUAGAAGCUUUGAGUUGGUCUCCAGGCUAAACAUGGAUGAUAGCUUCUUCGAGUGGGAUCAAUUCCUUCAAAUUCCUUGGUAUUACAAAUGGUAAUAAUCGAAGGUUUUGCAAAACUUGAAAGCCAAUGCUGGAUUUGUUGGAGAAGAGGCUUGCUACUUGGAAGGGAAAAUACCUAUCGAUUGAAGGAAGCAUAUGGAGCUUAGCUAAUACUAGGGCAACCUGGUAUCCUUUACUAUUAUACAUGUAUGUUGGUAUUUCUGGAAGCAUAGCUUUGGUUUCUAAUUCUAGUGGUCGGUAGUGGCUCUAUUAUAAAGGACAUUUGCUUAUAAAAAAAAUGUCCUUUAAAAUCUCAAUAAUUAGUAACGGACUAAAAAGUCAUAUGGUCGUCAAUUUUGCAAAGCUAUUUAUCCCCAUUUUUCUUUCUUUACGUACAUUUGAUUGAAGCUGUUUUUUGACUCACAACAAGAACCAAUAUUAUUCAUGUCCAUAUUUGAUAAAGACAUUUACAGAAUUAAUGGCCUACAGAAAGUUGACAGGCGUUAGACAUAUAAGCCCACAUGUCAAUUUUGUGGUGCUGAAAAGUGACACUUUUUAUACAAAAAAGUCUAAGCAGUGAUUGAUAGUUUGCCUGCUCAUGAACAAAUUCAGGAUUAGGACAUAGUUAAGUAUUUUCUUAAUUGAUUCCCUAAUAGUAAAUUAGGAAUGCAUUUUUCCUUGUUGAUUGUCCAAGAGCACCUAAAGUCUUAAAUCUCUCAAGUCAACACGUCAUAAUCCCUACAGUUCACUGUAUAUCAAGUAAGCAUCAUACUGUUUAUUGUUUUGCGUAGGAAAAAUGUAAAAGAAUGGCGAACACAAUACAAUAUAUACGAAUUGUUAUAAAUAAAUGAUUGCCUUCAUUCUAGAAACAAAUUGAUAUAAAUAAUUGUCUUAACUCUUUUUUCUAGAAACAAAUUUUUUAUCACACCAUCAUUGGAAUAUACUCUUCACAUCGCUUUUACCGCACAUUAAUUUCCCAAUACAUUAUAUACUCACAGUCACACUCAUACUCACAUCACAUAUAUAUCAUACAUUAAAAAGUCAAAUAGACAGGGUGCGCUGGUUAAACCAUUUUAUGUGGAGGAGGUUAAGGCAGCGGUGUAAGACUGUGAUAAUUUUAAAUGCCCCGACCCUAAUGGUAUUACGUUUUGUGUCAUUAAGGAAUUUUGGGACAUUCUUCAUGACGAAUUGAUGCGGUUUUUGGUGGAAUUUCAUAGGAAUGGAAGGCUUACCAAAGGAAUAAAUAGUACUUUCAUUGCUCUUAUUCCUAAGGUCAAGAGCUCGCAACGUCUGCGUUCUGUUAUUGAGUCGGUUAUCUCUGUUAAUCAGGCUGCAUUUGUCAAGGGUCGUCAAAUUUUAGAUGGUAUUCUGGUGGCAAAUGAGGUUGUGGAUGAUGCCCGAAAAUUUAAAAGGGAACUUCUUCUUUUCAAAGUGGAUUUCGAAAAAGCUUAUGAUUCCAUAGACUGAACUUACUUAGAUGAGGUAAUGCAAAAGAUGGGGUUCCCAGUUUUAUGGCGGAAAUGGAUAAAAGAAUGUAUAGGCACGGCGACAGCAUCGGUUUUGGUCAAUAGGUCCCCAACAGACGAGUUCCCUUUGAAGAGGGGUUUAGGGCAAGGAGACCCACUUUCCCCUUUCCUCUUUCUCUUGGCUGUCGAGGGUUUCAAUAUUUUGAUGAAGUCAAUGUCGGCUAAUCAGUUCUUCCAUGGGUACAAGGUGGGUUCAGAUGCUACAACGGUUGUCUCACACUUACAAUUUGCGGAGGAUGCUUUAAUAAUAGCUGAAAAAUCUUGGGCCAAUGUCCGGGCGAUGCGUGCGGUCCUUAUGUUGUUUGAAGAGAUAUCUGGUUUGAAGGUAAAUUUCACAAAGAGUCAAUUUUUUGUUGUAAAUGUCCAAUCGUCUUGGUUGAAUGAGGCGGCGUUAGUUCUGAAGUGUAAGGUUGGAAAUCUCCCUUUUGUGUAUUUGGGGCUGCAUAUAGAUGGUGAUGCGCGUCGGCUGUCUUUUUGGGAUCCACUGAUCACUCGCCUUAAAUCUAAACUGUCAGGGUGGAAAUAUAAACAUUUAUCUUUUGUUGGUCGUUUGAUUCUGUUGAAGUCUGUCCUGUCAUCUAUGCAUGUUUACGAUCUUUCCUUCUUCAAGGCUCCCUCAGGUAUCAUCUCCUCUAUUGAAUCUAUUUUAAAUAAUUUUUUUUGGGGAGGGAACGACAACCAUAAAAAAAUAACUUGGGUUGAUUGGAAUUAUGUGUGUUUGAGUAAGGAGGUUGGUGGUUUGAGGGUAAGGAGAAUUAGGGAGUUUAAUAGUGCUUUACUAGGAAAGUGGUAUUGUAGGGUGUUAGUUGAGAAGGAGAGUUUGUGGUAUAGGGUGUUGGUGGCGAGGUACGGUGAGGAGGGAGGAAGGUUGUCAGACGGUGGGAGGACAGACUCGGCCUAGUGGCGUGCCAUAGCUGCUUUGCGUAGUGAGGCGUGGUUUGGUACUAAUGUCAAAAGAUCGGUGGGGAAUGGGAAAAACAUUUAUUUUUGGUCGAAUGUGUGGGUGGGUGGGUGGGGUGUCCUUUAAGGAAAGGUUUAGUAGACUGUUUGAGUUGUCGGUGGAUAAAUGGGUGUCGGUGUUUGACUUGUUUCAUUUAGGGUGGGGUGAGAAUGGAGAAGCGUGGAAGUGGAGGCGGAGGUUGUUUGCGUGGGAAGAGGAGUAGUUGGGGGAAUUAUGUUUAUUGCUUCAAAAUAUGAUUUUGCAGGUUGACAAAGAGGACAAUUGGAUAUGGAAAUUGGAGAAGUCUAAUGCUUACACUGUUCGUAGUGCUUAUACCUGUCCGUCUGCUCAGCUUUCUGUUGUUGAUCCGUUGGAGCUGAAAUUGCUAUGGCAAAAGAUUGUUCCUCUGAAGGUAGUGAUUUUUGCUUGGCGUCUGCUCCGAAAUAGAUUGCCAACCAAAGACAACUUGUUGCGGCGUGGUAUUCUCCAUAGGGAUUCUUGUCAAUGUAUUACUAGUUGUGGUUCUAUGGAAAAUGUUAACCAUUUAUUUCUUCAUUGUUCUUUGUUUCGGACGAUUUGGAACUGUAUUCUCUGUUGGAUUGGUCUUUCCACCGCCGUUCCGCUAAAUAUAUCAGAUCAUUUUACUCAGUUCUGUUUUGGUGGUGGCGGAUCUCAAGUGCAACACACAAUUUUAAACGUCUUUUGGUUUGCUAUUAUGUGGGAAAUCUGGAAAGAAAGAAAUAACAUAAUUUUCAAUGAUAAAGAAAGCUCGAUUAUGCACAUUGUGGACAAAAUAAAGUCACUUUCUUAUUCGUGGUUGAAGGAGAAAUUUCAGAUUUCUCUCAAUUACCAUGGUUGGUGACUUAGUCCUCUCGCAAUGUUGGGCUACAUAUAAUAUUAUUUCUUUUGUUUUUUCCUUUUGCUGUUUUUUCUUUUCUCACUUUGUAAAUACUGUACAUAUUCUUUUGUUUUUACUUAGCACACCUUGUGCUAGAAAGAACUUUUUGUGUUGAUAAUAUAUUCCAUUUUAGUCUCUUAAAAAAAAAAUGUCAAAUAUUUAUUAUACUUACAAAUAUGUGAAGCGAAAACUAAUUUUGAUAAAGACUUUCUAAGACAAAACAAAAUUAUAUGAAGACAGAUGCCUAUAAUACGUUUGCGUUCCAAUGGUACAAGUUUAACCUUUUGAGUUUUUGCAUAAAGUCUAAUUUAUGUGCCAAAUAGUCAAGUAGGUUUAGACAUCCAUGUCAACCAAAAAAAGCUUUAGGUGUGUUUGUUUCAAGUUUACCAAAUUUAUUUUUAGGAAUAACAUUCCUUGGAAUAUAAAGAUGGGAAUUUUAUUCCAAGGAAUUUAGGAAAAAUAUGUUUGGUUAACUUUAUAAUAUUCCUAGGAACCAUAAAAAUAGAGAUUAUAAUAGGUAAACUAUUUAUGAAUUUAUUCCCAUCUCUAUGGGAACUUUAUUCCCACCCUUUUCCUUGGGAAAUUUUUUCUAUUCCCAGGAACAUUUUAUACCAAGGAAUAAAUUUUAGUAAACUUGUAACAAACAUAGGCAUAUACAUUUCUAUCAUUUUAUUCCCGGGAAUCAACAAUUAUAACUUGAAACAAACACACCCUUAGACAUUGAUGUGCGAAUCAUUCUAGCAUUUUAACAUAUAAUUUUUUUUGGAUCUCGCUAAUCAUUGCCCUCUCAGGACAAUGGUUAAGAAAACCAAAAGUAGCAUGUUUGCUUUGGUUUCAACAAUAUUUUGAUAUUUAAAAAGUUAAAUUUAUUAUUUUUCAUCAUUUUUUAAUGCUAUUUUUUCAUUUUUAUCCCCUUAUCCAAUGUCCCAAAGACAAUCGUUAGAAUUCAAAUUUUUUUUUUUUAAAAGAUGACAUAUAACUUUUUAUUUUCUACAUUUCAUUUCAUCGAGGGCAAUUUAUUGAAAGCAUGGUCACUGAAAGUACGCACAUUUCAUUUCAAUAAAAAUUUGAACAUUAACUAAUCAGUUUGUUGAAGGUUAGUUCUCUCUAAUGGUGUUCAAAUCAAAACCGAUCCAAAUUAAAAUCGUAAAUUGAUCUAAAAAAAAUAUUCAAAAAUCGUAAAAAAACAAAUAUUUUUGGAUGUUGUUUUGUAAAAAUUGUUACGAUCAGAUCGGACUUCGGAUCACUUUUUCAAAACCAAACCGAACCGCAAAAGUAAAUAUUAAUAUUUAUUUAUUCUUUUAUUAGUAUUAUAUAUUGCAUUAUUAUGUUGCUUGUUGGUUUUUAAUCUUAUAUAUUGGACUAAUUUAAUCUAUAUUAUUAUUACUUCAUAUGUUUAAAAAAUAAUCGAUAAUUUUAAUACUGUAAUUUUAAUUUUUUUAAUAUAUUUUGCAUCAAACUUAUUAUUUUACCGUGUUUGUGUAAUAUUAAAAAAAAAUUGCAUUUUGGAUAUCCAAAAACUGAACUAAAUUAAAUCGCAUAUAUUUGGAUCGGAUCGGUUCGAUUUUUUUUAGAAUAGUCAUUCAAACGAAAUCAAACCGCGUGUGGUUUUUACUUUGGAUCGGAUGACAUUUUGCUUAAAAAACGAUCCAAUCCGCACCAUGACCACCCUUAGUUCUCUCGACCAAACUUAACUCAUGUAUGUUCAUCACAUGGUAUUUUAAUUUCUAGCUUACUUUGAAGAAUUUUUUUAUAAUUUACCCAUCAACCAGUCAAAAUUAGCCAAAAAAGGAGCCGGUUUUUGUGAGUUUGAUAAAAUAGGACACAAAAAUAGAAUUAAACUUAAUUUAUAAAAUAUAAUAAUGAAAUAAAAAAAAACUUAUAGUAAUAUAUACUUAAUAAUAACCACGUUGUAGUUGGGGGGUAUAAUUCAUUUUUUUAAGGAAAAAUAACUGCACUUAAAAACUGCAACUUAAAUAUAAAUAUACAACUACACUUAAAAUAUGUCAAAAAUAGGUUAAAAAGUCAAGCAUUAUUGUCUAUUUUCUUCAAUUUGCAAUCACUCAAAAAAGAGUAUAUUGAGGAAAGUUCUUACGAAAACAUCAUUAAUUAACAAGUGUUAAUGAAAAAAUAUUCAUACAGAUUUGAAGGGAUAUGUACAUGUCAAAUCUAUAUAUAUAUUUCUCAAAUGUUUAUAAACAAUAAUAUUUUUUUUUUUUAAUGAUGGAGGUUCAAAUUUCAUUGUAUCAAUACAGUGAGCAUAUAGUAGUUAGUCGUACUGGUGUAAUUUUCACACUAGCAGUCUUUCUGUUUCAGUUUCAAAAUUGAUAGGCAAGUCUUUGGGAUAAAGCUAAGUGGGAAAAUGAGAAUAUGAUGCUUUUGUCUUUCCUGUAAGUCUGGAAUAACAUAAGAUCACCGGCCAUAUAUGGGUCUGCUAAGUCAAGGGUAUGUUGAAGUCCACAAGGGGCUUUGCCUCCUUUUUGCAAUUUAAUUUGUAAUGAAUUUUGCUCACAUAUUUUAAACUUGGAGAAAUGGAAUGCAUGUUUGAGGUUCGAACUCCAACCUCUUUAUAUGCAAUGUUCCUAUCAACUGAGUUAAUGUUACGCAGAUAAUUUCAAAUGAAUUUGACUAUUGAGAAAUGUUUACAACAUAUACUUUCCUUUUAACAUACAAUUUUUUAUUGAACAAAUUUAUGUAGUAUUUACGAUUUGAGAAUAUAUUUCGUAUAAAAUGAUGAAAUUUACAUGAAUAUUUUACUACAUGAAAGAGUCAAUUUUAAAAGAUGAACGUUGUUAACACUUCUCAAAAAUAAAGAAUAGGAUUAAUAAUAUGCCCUUGAUACGUAGGAAAACAAUAAAUAAAAUGGAUAAGUCGCCCAUAAUUGAAAAUUAGAGUAACAAAAACAUAUAUCAAGUGGAGAAAUUUGGAAAACUAAUAUUUCUAUUGUGUGAAUUUUAUUUUGGUAAUGUAAAAUAGAGUGUGAACAUUGGUCAUGAAGAGAAAGAACAAGUUAUAAUAAAUAAAUAUAUUGUGUGUAUUAUCUCUGUGGACAACACAUUUCUAGUAAAAAUAGUUUGAACUACAAAAUUUUAUUCUCGUCUCACAUGAGAAGAAAACUAAGAGAGUUUUAACUUGUCACAUUUCUCCAAUUAGUUUUGUCCUUCAAUUAGUUUAACUUGUUAUUAUGAGAGUCUGAUGCGAGAAUGAAGGGGAAGUGACCAAGAUGUUUUUUUUUAGGGAAUGACCAAGAUGUUGUGUCACGAAUGAAACAAAACUGAAUUAAUUUUAGGUUUUUUCUUUAUAAAUUAAAUGACAAAAUAAAAUAAAUUAAUGAUGGGGCACAAUCCUAUUGGUUGAUUGUGUAAUCAAAUUUUACACGGUCAGUGCACCAUAAUUAAACACUCGCUCUCUCUCUCUCUCUCUCUCUAAAUAUUUACAAUUUAACGAUUAUUUUAUAAAAUAAAGAGUUAUUUAUAAAUAUUUAUAUUUUAUAAGACAUCGUUUUAUAAGAAUAAACAUCGUUUCAUUGUUUAUAAGAAUCAUAUUAAAUUUUUAACAUUUUCUCAUAAAAAAUAAUAAAUAUUCUUUGUUAUAUAACAAAAAUUCAAAAAAUGUAAAUUUUAUUUCGUCGACACUUUCGGUAACUAAGAUCUAAUUAUUGUAAUUAUUAAUGAUAGAAAACGAUUCUUUUUCUUCAAAAAAACAACUCGUUUCAAUAUGAAUUUAAUGAUUUGGUGUACCGGUACACUCAAAUUUUUGAGUGUACCAUAGAAUUUGCCAUAUAUAUAUACACACACAUCAAAAUUACAAAAACAAACAUAAAUGUGUCUUCUAAUGUGUAUUUAGUUUGUAAAUUUGUCUUCAAAUGUGUAUUUAGUUAGUAAAUUUGGCCCUCAAAUAUGUUUUCUCCAACAGAUUUGGUCAAUAAAAUUACUAAUAAAAGAUAUUUUGAGGAUGUGUUUGCAACUUUGAGGAUGUGUUUGCAACAAAUACUUCAUGCAUUUAACACCCAAAUAAUUAUUUACUACCUUUUCAUAACUCUACUACAUGUGCUAAUAAUUGAAAGAGAUAUAUGGUGCCCCAACUAUUCAAAGUUUACGCGUCUGCCCCUGCAAUCUGGUAUCAACUCAAAAACCUGAGGAUCAACCGUAAAUGUAGCCUCCCUUGAUAACUUUGGAGCACAACAUUGGUGUGCCUCCUUGAAAACUCUACCAACGAGAGUUCAGACAUAAAUCAUGCACUAAAGCAAUACAAAUCUCUAAAUAUGUAACCAAAAUAAGUAAAAUCCACAACCAGCUUAUUAAAAAAAUUGACAACAUCUUUAACGUCAAACUCAAAAGAAUCUCAAUUCGGCUUCCUGCUUGAUCUAAUUCAAAUUCGGUUUCUAAAAAAAAUGACAACAACUUUAACAUCUAACUCAAAUUUGAUCUACGUCAGGAAGAGAGUGAGAUAUCUCUAAUUCACUAUCAAAGAGUUUGUUACAAAAAGAUACAAGGGUAACAAGAACUUAGCCUUCAAGAAUAAAUCCUAACUUCUACCUUUUUCCUUAAUCUCUUUCCAUGGCCAAGAGACUCAAAGAUUUAUUUCCCAAGGUGCUUUACGGUGUUUUUCAACCCCAGAAUUUCCUUAAAACUGCAACCCUAGAAUUCCCACUUUUUCCACCUCUUGUUAGAACUGAAAAUCAACUCCUUCUAUAUAUAGGCAUCGCCUAGCUUGUCUUGCACCUCAAGAAAUAACCUUGAGGACUACAAGACUUGUCAAGCUAGUAGGUAAACAAGUGAAGCAACUGCUUUGCUUGUGUUACACUUCAAGAAAUAGCCUUGCAAUGCAUGUGCCUUUCCAAGCAAGAAAAUUGCCUUAUAUUUAUAUUUUCUCGAGAACAAAGUAGCGUCUUCAACUUUCUUGAGAAACAAAAAAAAAUCCCAAAAAAAAAUUGAGUUACACACAACAACUAUUUUCUGAAAUUAUGGGAUAUAAUUGAGCCACUAAAUCUCAAACAUUUAGAUGAUGUUGAUGAGGUUGUCCACCAAAUUAAUACUAAUAAUAAUCUCAUGAUCGAAUGACCAUAUCUAGAGUUAGGAUUAGGAUUAGGAGGUCCCCUAUAUUAAAUUGCAAUAGGUAUAUAAUAAUCUCAUGAUCCAAUGACAAUUUAAUCACCAAAUUCAGUCAACUUAUCCUAAAAAAAAAUUAUUUAUUGUUAAAAUACAGCAUAUCUGAUCGUUUAUGAUUAUGUAGAAGCUACUUAAUAAUUUAUAUACUAUUUAUCUACAAAAGUAUUAGAAGCACAGAGUUGAUCUCAUUCAUUGUGACGAAUUAAUUAAACGUGAAUCAUAAGUAGUUGAAGAUAUGCAUCCACACGAGAAUCCAAUACUAUAUUUGGUAGAACAAGUUGUCAUUUAGUCACAAUCAAUAAUCAUAAGUUUUAUAUAGAACGAAUCCAUCACAAAACGACAAAAGAAACAUUAUAAAAAUAAAUACAAUCAACAUUGUUAUUCAAUCUCCACAACGUGAAAGAGGGACGAAACAGAUCUAUCUGAAUAGUCAAAUUGUCUAAAAAAAAUCCCUCUUAUGUGAAGAGAAAAAGAAAAAAAAAAGAGAUGCAGAGUUCUAAAAAAUGCCAUUGUGCAAAAAACAAGAAAACACCUUGGCAUUAUCAUAUGUUGAACUCUGCACUCAAAUAUAUACCUCAAUAAUCCAAAUGAUGGACCAAAAAAAAAAAAAAAAAAAAGAAAUCUCUGAUAUUAAAACUAAAAGCCAUAAUAAAACUUAGGUCAUUACUAUAGACUAUAGUCAUGACUCAUUAGCAUGCACAUCAACAAAUGUUGAUGCCUUGAAACUGGUUGUUUUGGAUCAAAUAAGCUGCCUCAAAACCUGAUUUAUGCUUCUUACAAGAUCCUUUAUUGUCAAGCAAUAUUCUUUGUUCAUCUGCAAGAAAAAAUUAAAUUAGCCACGAAAAUUAGAGAAGAAAGAAAGAACCAUCGCUAAUUUUGCCACGAUAAAAUAUAAUUAAACUCAUGUCUUUGAAAUUUGAAUAAAUUUUACCUGAGCAACAAUGGUUAUAUCAACAUAGUUAUUUCCAAAUGGUAAAAUAGAACUACUUUGAACUGUGAGAUGAUGCUUUUCCAAUAAGUUGAGUAUUGCGGCCGCAGAUCGGCCGCAAUGUUUAUCACCAUGGAUUCUGAUGAGCAUGUCUUUUCCAGAAACUCUUGCUUCGAUUUUCGGGAGUGAUUGGUCGGAGUUUUCGUCGCAAGAGGAGCUAUCAUUAUUGUCGAAGAGGAUUGAUCUCUUCACAAAAACUGCUGAUUCGACUUUUUUAUCGGCUACUUGUUCCUCUAAAGUCUUUACUCUUUCCUGUAGUUGCUUCAUAUGUUUUAUAGCAUCUUCUAAAAUAGUUGCCUUGUCCAUCUGCAUGCAAAGUGAACUUUGGUUAAUAUUACUUGAUAGGGGAUAUCAUGGUUUUGAAUUGCGGUAUGCAUUAACCUAAUUUGUAUGUAAUUUUCUCAAUAUAUUAAAGAUCGCAACGUAAUUACAGAUUCAUGUGCAUAAUAUUUAUACAAUAUAUGUUAUAUAUAUAGUACCUUUUUGAGUCCAGGAAGAAUAGAGGAAAGUGCAAUGAAUCUCUGGCUAAGCUUUUCCCUUCGUUUUCUUUCGGCGAUAACAUGAUCUCGAGCCUGCAUAGGGUUUCUAUUUACAGCAGAAACCUUGUUCUCUCGUUUAUAAUAAUCACCUUGAGAAAUCACACUUCCAAAAUUCAAGUUUUCACCAUACCCGAUCUCGGUUUUAGGCUUCUUAACCUUUGAAUCAUUAUUCGAGUAAUCAAAUGAAAUGAUUUUGGGAGAAGCCUUGAGUAGUUUAGUUGGUGGUGUUGCUGAGGCAACAGAUUGAUCUGGACUUUGAGUAGGGAAAGAACUGUUCUGUGUGCUUUCGGAAUGGAUUCGCUUGUUGUUGAUGUUGGUAUGAGAGGAAUAAGUACUCUCUUGUGGGGAUUCUGAGAAAGACUUGAAGUAUGCCAUAUCAUCAAACUGGAAUGCAUAUGAAUCCAUUUGGUAUUCAUGAUCACUAAACAAAGUAGUGUCCUCCAUUAAUCCCUGUUAAUUCAAAGAAAAAGAGUAAGGUAAAAGAAUUUAGAAUUUUUCUAUGGAUAUUUUUGUAGUUAGUUUUAACUUGUUUUAAGUUGUGUUUGUAUGAUAUUUUCGUAGUGAUUCUGUUUAUCUCGCUGCCAAUCCAAACAUACACUAUGUUGUGUACUUACAAAUUCAGGCAUGUAGUU
rnacentral:lncRNA from 1 species